ACAUUAUUUCAUUUCAUUUUUUCUUUCUAUAAAGGAAAAAUUAGGUAGUGACAAGAAUUACUAUAUUUUUGUCGAAGUAUUCUGGUAUGGUGCACCAUUAAUUUAGCAGCAAAUAAGGAAAAUUGAAGUUGGAAGAGAAACCAGAGAACUACCAGUUUGCAUGGAUCUUUUUGAUUUCUCAAAACAGUUCUGGGGAUUCAAAAGGGAGAGCAUUCUUCCAAGUACUCUCUAGAGGUAACAAAACCAUUCAAACUUGUCCACUUUUGAGAGAUGAAUCCUAUCCAUUGGCAACCUCAAGGAACAUUCCUUGGCACAUUCAUAAGAUAUACUUCUGAUUUCCUUAAAAAUAUUCAUCCUACAGUUGCAGAGGUGUAUGGUUUGGUAUAAUGUUCACAAUUUGCAACCUUAAUUUCAUCAAUAAAUUAAAACUUUGAUGUAUAAAGUGUCAUGUCUGUAUGCUAAGAAUGAGACUCAUCAUUGGACAAGAAAAAGAAAUGGCAUUUUUCUUCUCUUUUUACGUUCAAUUUGCUGAAGUGAAAAAUGGGUUA